CCAUGAAUAUAUACAAAUUGUAAAUUUACAAUAAAAGAUAAAAAUGAAAAAAAUGAAAUCUUUGCAUCCUCCGUCAGCCCUAAUCUUUUGGAUUCUUAUCUUGCUGCAAUACUCAAAAAGAUCAAAUACAUAGAUGGUUGGGGAGGUCAUCCAGUUCUAUGGUGAGUAGAUCAUUUAUGCCAAUGAGCCCCAAGUUCAUGCCCUCAGCCCUGGCUUCACCUGAGCUCCAGACUCACCAUUUGACUCUCACUGACAUCACCACUGGGGUGCCUCACAGGUGCUCCAGAUCUGGCAGGGCGUCAAUGAGUUCUUGCUUCUUCCCUUACACCUGUUCCUCCCGCAGCCUUCCUCAUCUCACUAAAUGGCAACUCCAUGGAGCCUAUCCUUGCAUCUCUGCAAAAUGCACACAUCCCGAAAAAGUCGGCAGAUGGGAAAGGGAGGUAGGCAGAUAGCUGUGAAAGGUGCAUGGCCUCUGGCUUUUGGAAGGAUGACCAGAAGGGAUGGCUGGAAGCCCAAAGAACUGUGAAACUGAUGGGGGAAAGUCAAUGGGUUUCAUCAGUGAAUCCAAGGAUGGGAUGGCUAGGAUUUGGAAGUGUAAAAAGAUACAUGUCAGGAUGAAACCAAAGGAAGCUACCAGGCCCACUGUGUAUUUCCACAUGGAGUGCCGCUGCCCACCCUUCCCAGCUGUCUGCUGGAGGUAUCCUGUGCCUUUCAUCCAAAUCCUACUUUUUCUCUGCAUCC
rnacentral:lncRNA from 1 species